rnacentral:rRNA from 1 species
CUUGGUCAUUUAGAGGAAGUAAAAGUCGUAACAAGGUCUCCGUUGGUGAACCAGCGGAGGGAUCAUUACAGAGUUGCAAAACUCCCACAACCAUCGCGAACGUUACCCACAACUAUUAUCUCAUGGUCUCCUCUGAGUACAGCACAUAAUAAGUUAAAACUUUCAACAACGGAUCUCUUGGUUCUGGCAUCGAUGAAGAGCGCAGCGAAAUGCGAUAAGUAAUGUGAAUUGCAGAAUUCAGUGAAUCAUCGAAUCUUUGAACGCACAUUGCGCCCGCCAGUAUUCUGGCGGGCAUGCCUGUUCGAGCGUCAUUUCAACCAUCAAGCCCCCCCGGGCUUGUGUUGGGGCCCUGCGGCUGCCGCAGGCCCUGAAAAGCAGUGGCGGGCUCGCUAGUCACACCGAGCGUAGUAGACUCACAAUCUCGCUCAGGGCGUGCAGCGGGCUGCUUGCCGUAAAACAACCCAAACCAUUCAAGGUUGACCUCGGAUCAGGUAGGAAUACCCGCUGAACUUAAGCAUAUCAAUAAGCGGAGGA